rnacentral:rRNA from 1 species
UGCCAGCCUCCUCGGUAAUACUGAGGGGGUUAGCGUUGUUCGGAAUUACUGGGCGUAAAGCGUACGUAGGCGGAUUAGUCAGUCAGAGGUGAAAUCCCAGGGCUCAACCCUGGAACUGCCUUUGAUACUGCUAGUCUUGAGUUCGAGAGAGGUGAGUGGAAUUCCAAGUGUAGAGGUGAAAUUCGUAGAUAUUUGGAGGAACACCAGUGGCGAAGGCGGCUCACUGGCUCGAUACUGACGCUGAGGUACGAAAGUGUGGGGAGCAAACAGGAUUAGCGA